rnacentral:rRNA from 1 species
GAUGAACGCUAGCUACAGGCCUAACACAUGCAAGUCGAGGGGAAACGACAUCGAAAGCUUGCUUUUGAUGGGCGUCGACCGGCGCACGGGUGAGUAACGCGUAUCCAACCUGCCCACCACUUGGGGAUAACCUUGCGAAAGUAAGACUAAUACCCAAUGAUAUCUCUAGAAGACAUCUGAAAGAGAUUAAAGAUUUAUCGGUGAUGGAUGGGGAUGCGUCUGAUUAGCUUGUUGGCGGGGUAACGGCCCACCAAGGCGACGAUCAGUAGGGGUUCUGAGAGGAAGGUCCCCCACAUUGGAACUGAGACACGGUCCAAACUCCUACGGGAGGCAGCAGUGAGGAAUAUUGGUCAAUGGGCGAGAGCCUGUACCAGCCAAGUAGCGUGCAGGAUGACGGCCCUAUGGGUUGUAAACUGCUUUUAUAAGGGAAUAAAGUGAGUCUCGUGAGACUUUUUGCAUGUACCUUAUGAAUAAGGGCCGGCUAAUUCCGUGCCAGCAGCCGCCGUAA